GCAGUCGAGCGCGCCCUUCGGGGUGAGCGGCGGACGGGUGAGUAACGCGUGGGAACGUGCCCUUUGCUGCGGAAUAGCCACUGGAAACGGUGAGUAAUACCGCAUGAGCCCUUCGGGGGAAAGAUUUAUCGGCAAGGGAUCGGCCCGCGUUGGAUUAGGUAGUUGGUGGGGUAAUGGCCUACCAAGCCGACGAUCCAUAGCUGGUUUCAGAGGAUGAUCAGCCACACUGGGACUGAGACACGGCCCAGACUCCUACGGGAGGCAGCAGUGGGGAAUCUUAGACAAUGGGCGCAAGCCUGAUCUAGCCAUGCCGCGUGAGUGACGAAGGCCCUAGGGUCGUAAAGCUCUUUCGCCUGUGAAGAUAAUGACGGUAGCAGGUAAAGAAACCCCGGCUAACUCCGUGCCAGCAGCCGCGGUAAUACGGAGGGGGUUAGCGUUGUUCGGAAUUACUGGGCGUAAAGCGCGCGUAGGCGGACCAUCAAGUUGGGGGUGAAAUCCCGGGGCUCAACCCCGGAACUGCCUCCAAAACUGGCGGUCUGGAGUUCGAGAGAGGUGAGUGGAAUUCCGAGUGUAGAGGUGAAAUUUGUAGAUAUUCGGAGGAACACCAGUGGCGAAGGCGGCUCACUGGCUCGAUACUGACGCUGAGGUGCGAAAGUGUGGGGAGCAAACAGGAUUAGAUACCCUGGUAGUCCACACCGUAAACGAUGAAUGCCAGUCGUCGGCAAGCAUGCUUGUCGGUGACACACCUAACGGAUUAAGCAUUCCGCCUGGGGAGUACGGCCGCAAGGUUACAACUCAAAGGAAUUGACGGAA
rnacentral:rRNA from 1 species